UGUGAGUAGCGAAAGACGGGUGAGAAUCCCGUCCACCGAUUGACUAAGGUUUCCAGAGGAAGGCUCGUCCGCUCUGGGUUAGUCGGGUCCUAAGCCGAGGCCGACAGGCGUAGGCGAUGGAUAACAGGUUGAUAUUCCUGUACCACCUAUAAUCGUUUUAAUCGAUGGGGGGACGCAGUAGGAUAGGCGAAGCGUGCGAUUGGAUUGCACGUCUAAGCAGUAAGGCUGAGUAUUAGGCAAAUCCGGUACUCGUUAAGGCUGAGCUGUGAUGGGGAGAAGACAUUGAGUCUUCGAGUCGUUGAUUUCACACUGCCGAGAAAAGCCUCUAGAUAGAAAAUAGGUGCCCGUACCGCAAACCGACACAGGUAGUCAAGAUGAGAAUUCUAAGGUGAGCGAGCGAACUCUCGUUAAGGAACUCGGCAAAAUGACCCCGUAACUUCGGGAGAAGGGGUGCUCUUUAGGGUUAACGCCCAGAAGAGCCGCAGUGAAUAGGCCCAAGCGACUGUUUAUCAAAAACACAGGUCUCUGCUAAACCGUAAGGUGAUGUAUAGGGGCUGACGCCUGCCCGGUGCUGGAAGGUUAAGAGGAGUGGUUAGCUUCUGCGAAGCUACGAAUCGAAGCCCCAGUAAACGGCGGCCGUAACUAUAACGGUCCUAAGGUAGCGAAAUUCCUUGUCGGGUAAGUUCCGACCCGCACGAAAGGCGUAACGAUUUGGGCACUGUCUCAACGAGAGACUCGGUGAAAUCAUAGUACCUGUGAAGAUGCAGGUUACCCGCGACAGGACGGAAAGACCCCGUGGAGCUUUACUGUAGCCUGAUAUUGAAAUUCGGCACAGCUUGUACAGGAUAGGUAGGAGCCUUUGAAACGUGAGCGCUAGCUUACGUGGAGGCGCUGGUGGGAUACUACCCUAGCUGUGUUGGCUUUCUAACCCGCACCACUUAUCGUGGUGGGAGACAGUGUCAAGCGGGCAGUUUGACUGGGGCGGUCGCCUCCUAAAAGGUAACGGAGGCGCUCAAAGGUUCCCUCAGAAUGGUUGGAAAUCAUUCAUAGAGUGUAAAGGCAUAAGGGAGCUUGACUGCGAGACCUACAAGUCGAGCAGGGUCGAAAGACGGACUUAGUGAUCCGGUGGUUCCGCAUGGAAGGGCCAUCGCUCAACGGAUAAAAGCUACCCCGGGGAUAACAGGCUUAUCUCCCCCAAGAGUUCACAUCGACGGGGAGGUUUGGCACCUCGAUGUCGGCUCAUCGCAUCCUGGGGCUGUAGUCGGUCCCAAGGGUUGGGCUGUUCGCCCAUUAAAGCGGUACGCGAGCUGGGUUCAGAACGUCGUGAGACAGUUCGGUCCCUAUCCGUCGUGGGCGUAGGAAAUUUGAGAGGAGCUGUCCUUAGUACGAGAGGACCGGGAUGGACAUACCUCUGGUGUACCAGUUGUCGUGCCAACGGCAUAGCUGGGUAGCUAUGUGUGGACGGGAUAAGUGCUGAAAGCAUCUAAGCAUGAAGCCCCCCUCAAGAUGAGAUUUCCCAACUUCGGUUAUAAGAUCCCUCAAAGAUGAUGAGGUUAAUAGGUUCGAGGUGGAAGCAUGGUGACAUGUGGAGCUGACGAAUACUAAUCGAUCGAAGACUUAAUCAA
rnacentral:rRNA from 1 species